rnacentral:rRNA from 1 species
GGGGGCCGCAAUGGCAACCGGCGAACGGGUGCGUAACACGUGAGCAACCUACCGAAAUGAGGGGAUAGCCGUCCCAACGGACGGGUAAUACCGCAUACGCUCUUGUCCAGGCAUUUGGACUUGAGGAAACCUCCGGGGCAUUUCGAGGGGCUCGCGGCCUAUCAGCUAGUUGGUGAGGUAACGGCUCACCAAGGCGACGACGGGUAGCUGGUCUGAGAGGAUGGCCAGCCACAUUGGGACUGAGAUACGGCCCAGACUCCUACGGGAGGCAGCAGUGGGGAAUCUUGCGCAAUGGCCUAACGGCUGACGCAGCGACGCCGCGUGAGGGAUGACGCUCCUCGGAGUGUAAACCUCUUUUGCCUGAGACGAAUUGUCAGCUUUAGCUGAUUUGACUGUAUCGGGUGAAUAAGCACCGGCUAACUCCGUGCCAGCAGCCGCGGUAAUACGGGGGGUGCGAGCGUUGUCCGGAAUCACUGGGCGUAAAGGGCGCGUAGGUGGCCUGAUAAGGGUGUGGUGAAAGUCCGGGGCUCAACCCCGGAUCGGCCGUGCCGACUGUUAGGCUAGAGUACUGUAGGGGCAGGCGGAAUUCCGGGUGUAGCGGUGG